GGUGGAUUGUGUGCAAUCGCUGUAAUAUUUUAUUUUUAUAAGGUCUUAAACAAGAAUAAAUUCGUUUCUUGCGAGCUCGUUGUGUCACUGCACGAGAAGCCGCGCCGUCUCGCGCUGUCAAAAGAGCUGAUGCAAAUCGUUCAUUUUCAAACUUCAACAGCUGAAAAACACCCUCUUUUAGCUCUUGGUUUGUUCUAAUGGGUGGAUUGUGUGCAAUCGCUGUAAUAUUUUAUUUUUAAAAGGUCUUAAACAAGAAUAAAUUCGUUUGUUGUGAGCCCGCUGUGAGACCACUCGCUGAACGGAGCGGUGAAUUCUCUCUCGUCUUUCUCUCUGUUCUGUGGCCAGAUAUACAUUUUUAAUAAGCCCUGACCCCUGUAAUAUUCAAAUAUGUUGGUUUAGCUUGUCAGAGUGAAAUAAAUUCAUGUAUUUAUAUGUAUUUUUAACCGAUUUAAAA
ensembl:lncRNA